rnacentral:lncRNA from 1 species
AGUGAGUGGAAUGAGGUGGGGGAGUGAGAGGAGAGAGUAGGAGCAGAGAUGGGAAGCCUGGCCAGUGGAGGCAUCCCAGGCCUGCUCUGAGGAGGUGCCAUAGCCCUGAGAGACCGAGGUCAGUGACCUAACACAGCAGACAGCUGAGCUCACAGAUGUUUGUCCAGGUACGAGCACUGCAGCCACUGCAGCAAAGGGUCUCAGGUCCCAGGUGCUGUCUCACUCCUUCACUACCUGGCUCUGAGGACGAUGGUACUGGCCCCCUGUCACAAGUGAGGAUGCCCUGCUGAGACUUACGAGAUUGCUGCUUGAAGGAGGUCGCAGAGUGCCAAGAGUCCAAGGAGGCCUGAUUCCAAACCUCCAGAUCUUUCCCUUGCCCUGGGAGAACGGCCACAAGCAGGCCCAGAGAGGAAACUGAGGCACAGACUAGCAGAGCGACUCAGUUAAACGUUCACCAUGUAAAUGAUACAAUGGAGGACAGCCGCUGUGUUACAAUAUCUUGGAGUUUCACUAUUAUCUAAGUCAAAAACGACAUCCAGCCGUGAGCUGUGGUGUAGGUCGCAGAUACAGCUCGGAUCUGGUGUUGCUGUGGCUGUGGUAUAGACCAGAAGCUACAGCUCCGAUUCAGCCCCUAGCCUGGGAACCUCCAUAUGCCGAGGGCGUAACCCUAGAAGACAAGAAAUGAAAAUAAAACUGAAAAAAAGACAUCCAGGGACCUUCGAUUUCUCAUGAAAAGAGCUGUGUAUCAAGAAAGCAUCAGGCCAGUGGGAAUGGGAAGGAUUUAGCUAUACUUUCUGUCUCAUAAUGUGCUAAUCUUAUUAUCUCAUAGUAGCUAUUAUCUGAGUCCUAUGAAUAAUGUCAUUCCAGUGUUUCUGGAGAAUAGGAGUGGAGCUCCAGGCCCUUAAAAACAAUCCUGGGCAGAGUCUGAGUAAUCUAGUACAUCUGAAUCACAAGAAAGAGGCAAGUCUCGAUUUGGAAUCAGAAAAGAAAUGAUGCAAAGCUUUCUAAGCCCUGGAAGGGAGGGAAGCCCGGGCAGACCCAGGAUCUGACUGCAAGGGGUUGGCUGCUUCUCUCCUGCCUAUUCCACCACCAGCCGCCCCCGCUUCCCCAGCGCCCGCUGUGGCCUGCCCUCCUGGGCCCACCCUCCGCUCAAAUCCUGCCCUUGUGAUUGACAGGCCUCCGCGACCCGGAGGAGGAACCUCAAGGAGGAACCGGACCCCUCCUCGCAGAGCUGCUACCGCCACACAGAAGGGGCCCAUUCUGCUUACAGGUUUGCUUCCCAGCCUGCUUCAAAUCCCAUUGAGGCCCAAAGCCCCCUCACUGGACCUGCCGGUUUUAGGAUGCAUAUGUUUUUCCCCUUCCAAGCUCUUUUGUUGCAUUGUGUAUCACUUUCCUUACCUAGAUACAAGGCUGUCUCCAUGAUGGGAGACCUUCCUUUCUAGAAUUUCCAGGAAGUUCGGUUGCCUCCCACAUGUUCAAUUUCAUGUAAUUCAAACUGAAGUCUGAGACUCUUUUUCCUAAUUCAGGAAAAGUUGUGAGCUUGGCAACCCAAAUGGAAAGACUUUUUUUUUUUAAUGGUAGUGGAUUUGGGGGGUGUUUUUCUCAUUUUGGUUGUGUGCGUAUGUUUCAUAAAGUGCAUCGGAGAAUUAAACUCAAAAAGCAACUGCUUGGAGAGAUAGAAACUCUUGUAAUUCAUGUUGUGCAUAAUGGAUCUGGCAGGCCCAAGCAUAGAAAUUUCCAGAAGUGUUUGCGUGGCAGCAGUUCUUAGCCAAUUCACAUUUUUUAGCUGUCCUGGCCGGCUGCCCAGCCUACAGAAAAAGUCUUGUAUCUCCACAAGUUUGGCUGGCCUCUCUGACGAGUUUCCAAACUGCAUGGCAACAUUGGAUGAGCUUAUUUUCAAGUGCCAAAAAACUCCUGCUACUUAUAUCGUUACUAAAUACCAGAUGUGUUUAAUACAGAGCAGGCAGAGCCAAACCUAGGGUAAUCAAAUAACCUAUCAUUAACAUUUUCUAAAAACAAAAAAUGCAAUUGGAACACCAGAUUACUGUUUUUCUUUGUUUGCUUUACGCCCUAUUACUGGAACCCCUAGGGUGAUGGGAACAGGACUCGGGGUGGAGAGGCCGGCUCUGGCAGCGGCCAAGACGCUGUUUACAAUCACACCCCUGCACAUCUGAAACAUGUGUGAGAAAGUCAAGGCCCCAGCAGAUUUCCUCUGCCCCGCUGCUCACAUCCCUACCCCUGCACUCCCCACCCCAGGGGGUUCUGUGCAGGCGGUGGCUCUCACCACGCGGGAAAGGCACGGAAAAGCUGAGGUGCCCUGGGAUUUGACCUUGAAGGAGAGAACUGUAGAGGGAGACGGGUAGGUAGGGUUGGGAGUUGGCAAAUGAGAAGCUAUGCAAGAGUGGGAAGCUGCUACUGCUGGAAAAGUGCAGAGACAUUCUGAAAGGCUUGAAGAGGCAAGAGGAUGCUGUGUGUCUUUGUCAGAGGCCCUGGCGGGGCUUCAGCUGGUAGCCCUUGCAGUGAUUCUUCAGGCACAAAUCCCCAGUUCCAACCCCGCCCCAUCCCCACCCUGCCCAUUGUUGUAAUUUCUCUUCCUUGCUUCCCCUCCCUCUCUUCUUCCCUCCCUCCCUCCCGCCCUUCCUUCCUUCCUUCCUUCCUUCCUUCCUCUCCCUCCUUCCUUUCCUCCUGUCCUUUCCCAGGCUUGAGUUGCCUGGGAAUCCAGGGCGAGGGAAGCAUGGUGCCUCUCUCUCUAUUCCAGGCCAUUCCUGCCACCAGUUUCCCUCCGCCCGACCUCCAUUGCCUGGGUGCUCAAUCCUCCGAAACUCUAUGCCGUCCCCUUUUUAGUCCUGCCUCCCAACGUUCUGAAAAGAUGAAGAAGGCAUCCUUGUCACCUCGAGGUUGGUGACCCCGGUAGAUCAAAUGGCAAGCAUGAGUGUCAGGGGUGAUUUGAGAAGAAAGAUGGAAGUUUGCAAAAUGAGAUUUUAUAGAUGGAAUCUCACCAUAAGAAAUUUGAGAGUUCAUAACUAUUCUGAAAAUAGUUGUUAUCUGCAUUAAGACAACUGUAUAAAUAAAGGAAUCAGUGAUG